AACGCGAAGAACCUUACCAGGCCUUGACAUGUCCAGUUUGAUUACCAGAGAUGGUUUUCUUCACUUCGGGUGGCUGGAACACAGGUGCUGCAUGGCUGUCGUCAGCUCGUGUCGUGAGAUGUUGGGUUAAGUCCCGCAACGAGCGCAACCCUCGUCCUUAGUUGCCAACGGGUAAUGCCGGGAACUCUAAGGAAACUGCCUAUGAUAAGUAGGAGGAAGGUGGGGACGACGUCAAGUCAUCAUGGCCCUUACGGCCUGGGCUACACACGUGCUACAAUGGUGGUGACAAUGGGCAGCAAACUCGCGAGAGUAAGCUAAUCCCCAAAAACCAUCUCAGUUCGGAUUGUACUCUGCAACUCGAGUGCAUGAAGUUGGAAUCGCUAGUAAUCGUAGAUCAGCAUGCUACGGUGAAUACGUUCCCGGGCCUUGUACACACCGAGUAUA
rnacentral:rRNA from 1 species